UUUUUUUUUUUUUUUUUUUCUCUCUGAGGGCUAUCUGAGUAACGGACAUCCCCUAGUAGGUGAUAGAGAACCCUCAGGGGUCCUUUUCUGUCCAAGGAAGCUUUAAGGUUGGUUUGGAACAGCUGUGGACAGUCUGUUAGGACGGCUAUGGAUCAACAUUGCUGUUGUUCUAAAUAUUAGCCAGCAAUUCCUAAACGUGAACUUUAGCUUUCAAGAUGAAAUGUUGCCUGAAUGCAGCUGAGGGUCAUUCUGCAUCCUACCGUCUCUUCUCUCCAUCUUUCAUGGGACAAGGACAACGGUCCGGGGAGGAGAGGGAGGCAGGUGUCAGCAGCAGCAGCCGAAAGCAUCUUACAGAUAGAUCCAAAAACAAAUCAGUGUGAGAUUAAUUUGUCUGACUGCUAAAUUGUCUCCAACUGCCAAAGCUUCGAGGGCCGCGCCUGCCAGGGCGGGUUCGGGUUACUCGAGCUUCCUGGGCGCGCUGUCUUUCCUCCAUCCCGGCCCGCUGACAGGCCGGCCUGAAACCUGUCCGGCUGGCGCCGGAUCCGCUCGCAGGACGUUUUAAAGGAGCGCAGCGAGUAUGAACUGCUCCGUUUUCACACACACCUUCUUCCUAUUUCUUUUUUAUGAAAACAUUUACAAGGUACCUAAUUUCAGAUCUUGGAAGUAAAUUUCAUGGUAGGAUAUACUUUACAAAACAUGUAAUCUUUCAGGGCCGGAAGACAUUUAAUUAAAACCAUACUUUGACAAGUUGUGUUUCAAAGCGAAGUCACACCAGCGCAGAAGGCUAAUUCAUAUUCAAGAUGCAGCCUGUAAUCCACGUUGUUUGAAAACGCCAGUACAGGCAAUGUACUGUUUGCCCUGCUCUCCUGCGGACUGGCUUGGGUUCGCUGCCUGGUCAUGCGAAGAUAGAGGAAAGCUUCCUGUAGCACCUUUAAUGUCCUUAGAAUAACACCUGUAGGAUGGUCAGGGGAUCUGAGGCACCGGAUUUUAAUCAGGAGAGCAGGCAGGGGCAGGUGCUGUGACAGGGUGCCUGGAGAAGUCUCAGUGGGACAGAGCCCCAAGCCUCCUAGACUCCUUGCUCCUCUGGCUGACCUGAGCGAAAGGGAAAGGAUCUCCUCUAUCUCUCUAACUACUUCCAUUCCUGAAGGCCAGAAACAUGAAAGGAUAGGAGGUUUGUCCACCCCAACUGAUUUAUGGGCAGAGCUCUCAGAGUCCUCAAAGAGGAGAUAAUAUUGGUUCCAGAAGCCUCCACACUGCCAGUUGCAUUCUGGUAGUUGUCCUUAAUAAUCUUCCUCUUUGCCAUUUCCCCAUAACUUGAUGAGCUCCAACUUAAGUAAGAGGGUCACAGCCCCACAGGUGAAGGACAUGCUCCCAGCUCAGCUGGUUUACUGACACACUCUAUGGGCACAAAGUGUUAAUGGCUAGCCUCAACUGCCCGGAUGGGCAGGAGCCUGAAAGCAUCCUACAGUCAGCAUGGAUGGGAAACUAAGAGACUGCAGGGUGGUCUGGGUUAAUGCUGAGAAGGGGGCCUGUAUACAGCAGCUCCAGGGGCUAAACCUGUGGUGAAGGCUGGGUUCCAGUCACUGUCCUGUCUGCACCUCGGUGUUUCCUCCCUGACCCCUAGUCUGCUGGUCUUUCCUCUCAACCAUGACAGUAAGUUGUUGUCAAAGUGCAGGGACAUGAAUUUGAGACUUCUGUUGGUUCAAUUUUACUCAAAAUGCUCCAAAAGAAUAACCCCUUCACUUAUUGCAGCCAUUCUGGGAUAGGGAUUUCACUUCAUCUGGGGGCAGGGUAAAUUAUUGAUUGGCUAAUGGACUCUCUCCGCCCCCCCCAAGCUUAUAUUUUCUUUCAAAUGCACCAUUAUUUUCCUUAAAGCACAAAGAUAGUUCAAGAAAAAGCCUCAAAUAUCAAAUCUAAUGUUCAAGAAGUAUUUUAAACAAUAUGGCUAUCUCAUGUUGAAGUCUCUUUUGAUUUUAUUGGGCCUGUUUAGAUGAAAACUUAAUUUCUGCAAAGACAAUCCCAAAAUAUAAUUUUGAUAAAGUUUUUGCUCUAUUCAGAGGCUACCAGCUGGUAUUUCUGAAGUUUCAGUGGGUAAUCUCCUUCACAUAUAGACAAGGAUGUUGGCAGCUAAAUGCUUAACAGUUUAUCAAUUUAGUACUUACUGGUCAAAUAAUAUUGAUAUCAGAUUAAGAGAUAGGGCCUUGAAGUCAUUCUUUAGUGGCUUGCCUUUUGGAGGGCUGGAGUGGAACUCUGGUCUACACCCUGCUUAAAAAAAGGGGGGGGGCUAUGUUAUAAUUGUAGGGGUAUGGAGGGUAAGAAAAACCCAAUACACAAACAGAGGCACUGCUGGAAUGGUUUUAAGCAUCACAUUGUUUGAGCUGAGACUGAAAAAGUAUGUACCUGACCAAAUGCAUUUGAAGCCUAAUACUACACUGGAGACUUGUGAAUUAUACAGAAGAGGAGAGGAACAGCAAGUAAUAAUAAUCCCCACCUGUUUUAUCUCAGUGAUAUGAACAAGCAGUUUCCCUGUCAUGGACAGGAGCACUCUCAGGGGUGUUGGAGGCCUGUUUGUGGGUCCUAAUUCUGGCAGGGAUCUAUGGUGGGAAGAGUGCAGGGUGGUUGGUAACUGUCAGGGUGGUGCUGCAAUGAGGGCUGGCAGCAGCGUUGUGUGCAGACUGGGCAGGACAGGUAAUAUUUCCCGGCUGGCCCACCCCUUCUGCAGCUCUGGAGAAUCAACCUUAUCCUUUCCAGGCCCAGAGGUUGGGUGGAGGUGAGAGAGGCCCAGACAGGCUGGAGAUUCAUGUCAUGUCUUUCCCUUUCCAUCUCCCUCUGCCUCUCUAUAAUUAGGCCCAUUUCACAGAUGUGGGAGCUAACCUAUGGACCUCACAGCACAGACCCCUUUGGUGUCUGGGAAAUGGGGAAGGGUGGAUCCACAGGUGCUCUAGCUUCCUAGCUCCCAGCAACCAUGGGGUGUAGGGAUGAGGGUGGAGCCAAGCCAGACCUGUACAGUAACGUUUCUGCUUCUGAGACUCAUUUGGACCAUAAGGUAGGAGUGAUUUUCAUAUGACAGAUCAGCCUCAGGAGAUUCCACUGGCACAAGUCUCAGGGCUCUGAAGGCAGCAGUCCCUAGGAUUCCUUGACUUCCCGCCGGUGCUCUUUGAACAGACUCCUCUCUUCUGUCUUCUUUUUCUUAAAUUCUGAAUCCUUUAACCCUUGCUUGUAGUAAGUGUAUUUGUAGUUAUAAAAUAUGUCUAUUUUCCAGAGAAAUUUAGCGUGCCGAAGUGAGAAUCAAUUCUAAAACACUCCUUUUAUUUUUAAAGUGGGUUUUAAAGGCCUAUUGUGGGGGGACCGCAAUGUCAAUGUGACCGGGAGGCGCAGUAAGAGCAGGAUUCUAUUGGCCGCCACCGCCGGCGGGGGCUACGCCUGGCUUGGCUCACGUGUGCGCCUUAUCAUGCAAAUCCGACGGCUGGGGCAUGCGCACUGCUUCCCUGGGGGGUACCCGCCUUCAACUCGCAGUUGGGACCAAGACCUCCAGAUGCGCAAUAAUUAGGUUUCCUCAUUAAACAAAGGUUUCCCCAUCAUUCCCCUCCUCCCACCGUUCUCAGUCGCAGAGCUCCUUACAAACCAAGCAGAUUACCCGUCGACUCCCCCCACACCCCCUCAAUCUCUGAUAUCCAGUCUUUGGUCCACGGUUCCUUCUGAGGAACUUCUUAAGGAUCUCCUUAAGGAUAUCCUUCUUAGGGUCUUCGCAUUUUAGAGUCCUUUACAUACCUCUCCAUUAUUCUUUUUCUUUUCUUUGGACCUGCUUUAAAGGCUAUUAAGAUACGAUUCUCUCUUCAUUUUUGGUCCCUUCCCUCAUCUCUCCCCCUCAACGUGAUAAAAUGCUCUUUUCGCUCCGAGAGGAAAGAGCCAACACCGCUGCUCCCCGUUCCAUUCGGCUUCGAUCACCCCCCUCCCGCCCCCAAGCCCAGUGGCUUUCAGUUCAGAGCACAGAAGCGUGGAUGCCCUAGAACUCGGGUAGGCGCUGGAGCCGGUCACCAGUCAAGCCCGAUCGCCAAUCCUCAGGCAUCUGUCUGCUAAGAAGAACGAAGGCCAGCAUCUGCAAGCCUGCCUGGACCUGUGCGGUGCUGCUCUUUGGCUCUGAGCCCCCACUUCGCUGGAGAAGCGCACGACUUCAGGGAACGCCUCCAGGGGUGUCCUCUACACUUCUCCAGCACCCGUUAGGUGGGCAUAGAGACCCCAGGGGUCCAUCUCCUUAGAGCGGAAUGGCCUUUUCUGGAAAGAGAUCGCAGUAGGCGAGAAAUAGCCACCAUUACGUUCAAAGUCUCCCGCGGGAAAGCUUCGUAGCUCUGCUGAGAGCUCUACCUGACCCGCGUGCGGCGUCGCGGCGAGAACCGCGCCCACAUGCGCUCCCGGAGUCACAGUCAGCUCAUUUUCCCUGGUAGAAACAGCCAACGCUCCUCUGGCUUUCAAUUACUCUCAGCUUACCUGCAGGGCGAACGGAUUUGUAUCUUUCUAUAAAAAAACCUUCUGUCCUGGAUUCUCCCAGAUUCCCCCUUCCCCCUCAUCCGACCUUAACCAGGAGAAGGGCGAGAUUGGGGUUUGAUUCUCUGAUAUGACACGAAUAAUUGUUGCAUCAUAUAACUUCCUACAUCUUGGUUUUAAUUUGCAGUGAACCAAACAAAGAUAUUUGCAAUUUAAAAAUAAGCACUCGAUUUAAUAAAUGGGAACAUUGUGCAUGGAAGACUAUGUCCUCCCCCCACCCACCACCCCAAACCCCUUCAGAAGACGUUAUUAGCUCUGACAGCAUGCCGCUCAGGUUUGCGGAGAGGAUUUUGUAAAGGGAUGACAGACAGGAAGGCCAGCAAUCAUGGGCUCCUUGGGCUGAAGCUUUUUUUCCCCCUUUCUUUCUUUUUUUUUUUUUUUUUUAUCAGAAUGUUCUGUUCGAUGCCAUUUAUCCUUGAUGAUAGAAAAUUGCGCUGUUGCCAGGACGCUGCUGCUGCCGCUGAAAUAGAGGGCAGGAGCCACAUUUCCAUUUUCCGGCUUGAAAGCUAUUCAAAUGAAUUUGCAGAGAGGGGGGAACGUCUAGCGAUAAACAAAUGAGAAUAAAUCGAGUUCCCCUUUCCAUUCUUUCGUUUAAAUGGGUAGCUCUUCAUUUCCAAUAUACAGACUUUUGUUCAUCAGUGUUUGGGAAUACCUGGGAGAUAGUGUAAGCCAACGUACAAUUUAUUUUGAUGUUCUAAAAGUGACUAACUGCAUAAACAUUUUAAAAGAAUGUACGUCUAAAUAUAUAUAUAUAAAGUAUAAGAAUUAUAUAUACAUAGAUCCUAUACAUACAUCCCUUCACACAAUUCCAAACUACAAUGGGGAAUAAACUCUUUUAGCAGAGUUUGAAUUGAAUAUAAUUUCCAAGCAAUGCUAGCAAUGGUGGUUAUGGACUUCCUACUAGUUUUCAUAUAUGUAUUGUUAGAUGGGAUCUUUUUUUUUUUUUUAAAGCUCUCUUUCUAUGUUAUAUAUUUUAGGACACUAUGUAAUUUAAUUACCCUGUAGGUCUUAGCUGAUUCAAACACCCUUACUUCCUCCGCAAUAGAUAAAAGUCACCUUCUUUCUUUCAAGUUAAUUUUCCAAAUCUCCUUAUAAAGUUUUGUUUCUAAGUCGGCAAGUACAAGUCAAAAGAGUAGGUGCACAGCACCUUUAAAGGAUUUGAAACAAAGAGAGACUGAAGUCUGUGCUUCCUUUUCUUAAAUUUUAGAUUCUUUGCUCACUUAAAAAGAUAAUAUAUUAAUAGGAACUCAAGGGAUCACAUCCAAAAUAGACAUUUUAAAAGUGAAAAAUUUAAAAAUUCAAGCCAUUAAAUAUAUAUAAAAACAUUAGCAAUGUCCUAACAGAAACUAUAAAACUUGUGGGGGACCCACUAUAUCUUAACAAUUGAAUAAGUUUUAUUGAGUUCUAACUCUAAUUUUUCUUCAAAGUCAGAUAUUGGCAGUUAGAAAAUUUUCAGUAAUAUAAAGGCUUUUAACAUACAGCAACUAAUUGUAUUUACAAUUUCAGAACAGUAACUAAUUGUAUUUGUGAUUUCGGCUGGUACUUGAAACUUAAGGGGAAAAAACCCACCCAACAGUAUUUUAAAACUUAACACUUUUCAACUGAGUCAUGGGUCUCUAACCUACUACGUUUUUAGCUACAAGAAUGUUUCUAAGUGAUAGGUAACCGGUGGCCAAACCAGGACUGCAGAAACAAUAACAGGAU
rnacentral:lncRNA from 1 species